rnacentral:rRNA from 1 species
UACGAAGGGGGCUAGCGUUGUUCGGCAUUACUGGGCGUAAAACGCACGUAGGCGGACUCUUAAGUCAGGGGUGAAAUCCCGGGGCUCAACCUCGGAACUGCCUUUGAUACUGUGAGUCUCGAGACCGGAAGAGGUGAGUGGAAUUCCUAGUGUAGAGGUGAAAUUCGUAGAUAUUAGGAAGAACACCAGUGGCGAAGGCGGCUCACUGGUCCGGUUCUGACGCUGAGGUGCGAAAGCGUGUGGAGCAAACAGG